GUCUAUGGCCAUGCUACCCUGAACAGGCUCGAUCCCAUUUGAUCUCGGAAGCUAAGCAGCGUGGGCCUGGUUAGUACUUGGAUGGGACACCACCUAGGAAGACCAUAUGCUGUAGGUG
rnacentral:rRNA from 1 species